rnacentral:rRNA from 1 species
UACGAAGGGGGCUAGCGUUGCUCGGAAUCACUGGGCGUAAAGGGUGCGUAGGCGGGUCUUUAAGUCAGGGGUGAAAUCCUGGAGCUCAACUCCAGAACUGCCUUUGAUACUGAGGAUCUUGAGUUCGGGAGAGGUGAGUGGAACUGCGAGUGUAGAGGUGAAAUGCGUAGAUAUCCGGAGGAACACCAGUGGCGAAGGCGACUUUCUGGCCUGUUCUUGACGCUGAGGCGCGAAAGCUAGGGGAGCAAACGGG